GAAAUGCGAUAAUUAAUGUGAAUUGCAGAAUUCAGUGAAUCAUCGAGUCUUUGAACGCACUUUGCGCCCCCUGGUAUUCCGGGGGGCAUGCCUGUCCGAGCGUCAUUGCUGCCCUCAAGCACGGCUUGUGUGUUGGGCUUCCGUCCCUGGCAACGGGGACGGGCCCAAAAGGCAGUGGCGGCACCAUGUCUGGUCCUCGAGCGUAUGGGGCUUUGUCACCCGCUCCCGUAGGUCCAGCUGGCAGCUAGCCUCGCAACCAAUCUUUUUAACCAGGUUGACCUCGGAUCAGGUAGGGAUACCCGCUGAACUUAAGC
rnacentral:misc_RNA from 1 species